GUGUGUGUGUGUGUGUGUGUGUGUGUGUGUGAGAGAGAGAGAGAGAGAGAGCGCUUUCAGUCACAGUUAACGUAAAUAUGAUAGAAAUAUCCCACAGUAUCAUAAAUAUGUGGAAGUAUUUUGUAUUUGCAAUUGCAUAAAUUAGAAUCUCGAAUGCACAGUGAAUUUCCGGUCGUCUGUGAGUGACGUCACUUCCAAAUACAAACACGACCCAUAAUAUCCUCCCACCCCAUCACUGAUUGACAGGUUUCUGUGCAAGGCAUGGGAAAAGCAGAUACAAAGCGAUUUGCGAUUCUAUUUGAAUGUUUGCAGGCUCCAUACGCCACACUGAGGAAGUGGAACGGGCGUUAAAAACGCUGAACUGCAACUGCAUCUGUCUCAGUCCAACACUCCUGACAGAUUAUUUUGUCCAUCUAUGGAUGCAGCAGGACAUCCGGAUUGGCGGUACGCCAUUACGGCUCAUGGACAGCUGACAGGAGAGCAGCAUCAGCGUCUCGCUGACCUUGACGCAAAGGAUUCUCCCUUGGGGAUUUGGGCGCUGGUGCAUUCUUGGAGGUCUGAGAACGACCCGCUGUGCUGCUGUCUCUGCCAUGGUGUUGUGGGCUUGAGGGACUUUCUGCAUGUGGUGUUAAGCUAAGUUGUCUUUGAUUUACUGCAAGGGAGAUAUUAUUUGGCGACGUUUGCUGUGCUCCUCCUUUUUCUCACUGCACGGUCUCUGGUCCAUGCCGGUGGGAUGGGGAGAGUGAGGCAGUGUGGAUCCCAUUCCUGGGACCAUCGAAGGAGGACUGCAGCUGUCCCUGUAGGCGGAAUCUUUUACAAUCUUUUGUAGGGAGAAUAACUAUUUUUAUUAGUUAUUUUUAAUUAAAAAAACAAAACAAAAAAACACACGAAAAUAAAAAUACAUGGGAAGUGUCUAAUGAUAAAUUUCACAUUUGACGUUUAUGUGACUUUGUGGUUCCUCUGAAGAUUAAAAACACACAGUGAGGGUUUGUUCGUGACUCAAUUUAAGUUAUUAAAGCCGCUGAUGAAGGUAUCACACUGUCUGAGUUGAAACAGUCAUACAGGAACAUUACUGAAUCUAACGAAAAUCCGUUAAAAUCCAAUAAAGUGUUCAUAAACUCUAUUUCAGUGUCUUCAUAAAUUUUUCAUUGAUACUUAAUGAUAUUACAUAACAACUUUCCAAUAACAUGCCUCGAAAACCACAGCAAUUUGUCGACGAUUACAAUUUUUAUUUACCUCAUACUUUUUAUCUAUUCAUACAGUGGUGCUCGAAAGUUUGUGAACCCUUUAGAAUUUCUGCAUAAAUAUGACCUAAAACAGAUUUUCAGAUGAUGAGAGCCCAAUUAAACAAAUGAGAUAUUCAUUUUAUCUCAUAAUAUUAUACUUUGUCAUUUAUUUAUUUAUUGAGGAAAAUGAUCCAAUAUUACAUAUCUGUGAGUGGCAAAAGUAUGUGAACCUUUGAUUUCAGUAUCUGGUGUGACUUCCUUGUGCAGCAAUAAUUGUAGAUAAACAGUUGUGGUAACUGUUGAUCAGUCCUGCACAUCGGUUUGGAGGAAGUUUACCCCAUUCCUCAGUACAGAACAGCUUCAACUCUGGGAUGUUGGUGGGUUUCCUCACAUGAACUGCUUGCUUUAAGUCCUUCCACAACAUUUCUAUUGGAUUAAGGUCAGGACUUUGAUUUGGCCGUUCCAAAGCAUUAACUUUAUUCUUCUUUAACCAUUCUUUGGUAGAACGACUCGUGUGAUUAGGGUUGUUGUCUUGCUGCAUGACCCACUUUCUCUUGAGAUUUAGUUCACAGACAGAUAUCCUUACAGUCGUUGUUCCAUCAAUGAUGGCAGGUCGUCCUGGCCCAGGAAAACAGGACCAAACCCUGAUACUACUACCACCACCAUGUUUCACAGAUAGGAUAAGGUGGGCCUGAUGGUGGCACUAUAGCACAGUGUGUUGCAUUUUAGCCCAUACACUUAGGUCCAUGUAUAUUUGGACAUUGACACAAGUGUAGUUAUUUCGGCUGUUUACCAAAACAUAUUCAAGCUACAGUUAAAUAAUGAACAUGGGCUUAAAAUGCAGUCUCUCGUCUUUAAUUUAAAUGUAUUAACAUCCACAUUGGAGGAAGAGUUUAGGAAUUACAGCUCUUUAAUAUGUAGCCCCUUCUUUAUCAACAAACCAAAAGUAAUUGGACAUUUGACUCAAAAGCUGUUUUAUGGACAGGUGUGGGCUUUUCCUUCGUUAUUUCAUCAAUUAAGCAGGUAAAACGUGUGGAGAUGAUUCCAGGUGUGGCAUUCGCAUUUGGAAACUGUUGCUGUGAACCCACAGCAUGCGCUCAAAAGAGCUCUCAAUGCAAGUGAAACAGGCUAUCCUUAAGCUGCAAAAAAAAAAUAAAUAAUCCAUCAGAGAGAUAGCAGGAACAUUAAGAGUAGCCAGAUGAACAGUUUGGUACAUUCUGAGGAAAAAAGAACGCACUGGUGAGCUCUGGAAC